AUUCCAAGAGUAGAUUCAAGAUUUCUGUGAUGCUGAGCCUCCUUGCAGGGUCAGACUGCUGUUCCAAGUGCAGUCAGGAGUAAAGCAGGAUAUGC